rnacentral:lncRNA from 1 species
AAAAUUAUUAUUUGAAUGUAAAAAAAAUGAAAGUGUUUACGAAUUUGUAAUUAACAAUAACUUUUAUUUUUGUACAAAAACGCAUACAGAACAAUUUGACGAUAGUACUAUUGCUAGCGGUAAUAUAAAUAAUAAGGGAAAUAAUAACACGUCUAACUCUAACUCUAACUCUAACUCUAACUCUAACUCUAACUCUAACUCUAACUCUAACUCUAACCCUAGAUUAUUUGAAAAACGUGUAGUAUUUGUCCCUGUUGCAGCUUACAAAAAUAAAAACAUAAUAAAAUUCCAAAAGGGAAAUAUACAAUUGUUUAGUCGAAGUUAUUGUUUAUAUGAUGAAAUAAAAUUUAUGAACUUAAAAAAAGAUAUGUUUUUAUUCAAAAUGUGUAAAGAAAUGUUAUAUAAUAAAGCUAAUGCUUUAAGUUCUUAUUAUAAUUUUAUUCCCAACACCAAUAGUAGUGGCAGUAGUCAUAGUAAUAGUAAAAAUGACAAUGACAAUAUCAUGUUGUUCGCAAACAAUAUGUAUUAUAAUUCUUGUGUUGGUACUGCUACAAAAAUAUUAAAAUCACAUGAUAAUAUAUUUAUAGGUGUUGCUCAUGAUUUUACUGAAUCAAAUGAUAUGGUAAAAGCAAGUAUAAAAAUAUUAAACGGCACUUUAAUAAGUAAAAAUUAUUACACUGUAUUACCAAUUAAAGAAAAAAUUAUAAUAAAAAAAAUUGAAAAAGAUGCAUGUUUUUUUAAAUAUAUAAACAUAAACAAUUUAUGUGACUACUUAGUAAAUACAAAGGAUUUUAAUUUGAUUAAAAAACUUUUAUUAGAGCAACAAAAUAAUGCUUCUCUUAUUAUAAACAUCAAAAAUGAAAACAAAAAGAAUUUUAAUGUAAAAGAUAAUACGCCCAACCAUAAUCCUAUCACUGAUCCUACUAUUGCUGCUCCUCCUCCUACUACUACUCCUACUACUACUACUACUACUACUACUACUACUACUACUACUACUACUACCAUUGAAACUUUUGAACAUGUUAACAAUUCUACUACAAAUCAUGUUAAUAAUUCCUUUUCUGCUCUAUACGAAAUUUCCAAAUAUUGUGUUGCUAAUGAAGAUGUGAAUCUAAUAGCUAACGACAUAAUGGAAAAUGUUUACUUUAAAAUAACUGACAAUCAAUUAAAUGAUCAUUUUGUUUUAGUCAGUAGCAAUUAUAAUGUAAUAGAGAAGAAAGAAGAAAUUCAAAAAGGCUCUUUAUAUAAUAAUAAUAAUAAUAGUAAUAAUAAUAAUAAUAAUAAUAAUAAUAUAUAUAAUGAUAAUACUGUUAUUACAUGUAAUAAAAUGAAAGUAUUAAUAAAAAUGAACGAAAUAAAAAUUCCACUAAUCAUAGGUAGACAAUAUCUUUUUUACUCAUUAAAUUCUUCACAUAGUAUAACUAUUAAAAACAUUCAUUAUGUUUAUGAAAGCGAAUGUAAAAAUAAAAAUUAUUCUUUCAAUUCGGAUUGUAUUGCAAACAUAAAAAAACUAAAUGCUGACACUAACGAACAAAUGUUAAAAUAUAUUGGUAACUUAAAAAAUUAUAAAAAAAAUAAUGUAUUUUAUCAAAAAGUAGAAAAUAAAAAAUGCUUACGUAGCUAUGAUAUUGGAAUCAUAGAAAUAGAAGUUAAUAAUAACUUAAUAUGUACACAGUAUUUCGAUAAUGAUAUAAAUUAUUUUAUUACAUUAGAUAAUCCUUUUUUUAAUAUUUAUGAUUUUCUACCUUUGGCAAUUUCUCCCUUAUCUCGUUUUAUUUUGUCUGAAGAAAAUAAAAUUGUUGCUAGUGGUUUAGUUAUUAAAUAAAAAAAAAAGCUCUUUUUUUUUUUUUUUUUUUUUUUUUUUUUAAUAUGAUGCUUACAUAUGUACAUAUGUAU